AAGUGAAAGAGCCAUAGCUCAGGUUCAAAUUGUGAAUUUUCCUCAAGUGCAAAUAAUCUAGAUGAUGACUUUGUUAAAAUAUUUGGUAAGUGUCCCCCUUCUGCGACAUUUUUGGACUGUAUUUGGAAUCAUCUAUUUGUCCUUGGUUGUCUCCAGGUCACCUGUCCCUACUGCUUUGGAGCAAAGGUCAUCUCCAUCAUAAGAACUCAUACAAUUCUGACUUUGGGUCAAACUUAAAUGAGCAUGAAGAACAUUUGGCUAAAAUAUUUGGGAUUCUCAGCUCAUUGAUCUAAUCCAACAUGCCUACUUAAUAUCUGAGAAAAACCAGAGCCCAGAUGGAAGAUGGAAGGUUAGUGAAGAUCCAGGAAUCCAUCCCUUUACUAAAACAACAAUAGAGCUGACAACAACUAUCAUAAGUCACCAUUAAGGAACACAGGAAUGUUGUCUAACACUGGCAAUACCCAAGGUGAUCCUGAUGAAGAGGCUCUUAGGUUAGGGAGAAUUCCAGCAUUUCAUGUAGCAGCUCCCAUUUUCCAUCCCCAAGCUUGUGGCAGGCAACUUUGUGGAUAGCAGUCCAUACUCCAGUGAGGCUUUUGGUGCCAGGGUGAGCAAUAAGGACCUUGUCCUAAAAACCCAGGGUAUGAACACUGCUUUAGACAUCGGAAGGGUUGGUAAGUAUCUUAGCUAUUGUUUAAAGCUCCCCAAAAUCCUGUUGAGGGGAUUUAA